rnacentral:rRNA from 1 species
UACAGAGGUCCCAAGCGUUGUUCGGAUUCACUGGGCGUAAAGGGUGCGUAGGCGGUCGGGUAAGUCUGGCGUGAAAUCUCCAAGCCUAACUUGGGAACUGCGUUGGAUACUAUCCGGCUCGAGGAAUGGAGGGGAGACUGGAAUACUUGGUGUAGCAGUGAAAUGCGUAGAUAUCGGGAGGAACACCAGUGGCGAAGGCGGCUACCUGGACCAGCAUUGACACUCAAGCACGAAAGCGUGGGGAGCAAACAGG